rnacentral:piRNA from 1 species
UCCCAAUGGGGAUGGAUUUCCUUUCGGAC